rnacentral:rRNA from 1 species
GAUGAACGCUGGCGGCGUGCCUAAUACAUGCAAGUCGAGCGAAUGGAUUAAGAGCUUGCUCUUAUGAAGUUAGCGGCGGACGGGUGAGUAACACGUGGGUAACCUGCCCAUAAGACUGGGAUAACUCCGGGAAACCGGGGCUAAUACCGGAUAACAUUUUGAACAGCAUGGUUCGAAAUUGAAAGGCGGCUUCGGUUGUCACUUAUGGAUGGACCCGCGUCGCAUUAGCUAGUUGGUGAGGUAACGGCUCACCAAGGCAACGAUGCGUAGCCGACCUGAGAGGGUGAUCGGCCACACUGGGACUGAGACACGGCCCAGACUCCUACGGGAGGCAGCAGUAGGGAAUCUUCCGCAAUGGACGAAAGUCUGACGGAGCAACGCCGCGUGAGUGAUGAAGGCUUUCGGGUCGUAAAACUCUGUUGUUAGGGAAGAACAAGUGCUAGUUGAAUAAGCUGGCACCUUGACGGUACCUAACCAGAAAGCCACGGCUAACUACGUGCCAGCCGCCGCUGUAA